rfam:Arabidopsis thaliana chromosome 3, complete sequence.
CCAAAUUCUUAGGCUAAGAUUUGUGAAGAAAAGGCUCUUAUAUAAGAGCUUUUACUCUUAUAUUUAAGUUUUUUCUUCCCAAAUCUUAGAUUAAGAUUUGG